rnacentral:rRNA from 1 species
UUGCCCUGAUGUGGGGGAUAACCAUUGGAAACGAUGGCUAAUACCGCAUAAUGCCUACGGGCCAAAGAGGGGGACCUUCGGGCCUCUCGCGUCAGGAUAUGCCUAGGUGGGAUUAGCUAGUUGGUGAGGUAAUGGCUCACCAAGGCGACGAUCCCUAGCUGGUCUGAGAGGAUGAUCAGCCACACUGGAACUGAGACACGGUCCAGACUCCUACGGGAGGCAGCAGUGGGGAAUAUUGCACAAUGGGCGCAAGCCUGAUGCAGCCAUGCCGCGUGUGUGAAGAAGGCCUUCGGGUUGUAAAGCACUUUCAGUCGUGAGGAAGGUAGUGUAGUUAAUAGCUGCAUUAUUUGACGUUAGCGACAGAAGAAGCACCGGCUAACUCCGUGCCAGCAGCCGCGGUAAUACGGAGGGUGCGAGCGUUAAUCGGAAUUACUGGGCGUAAAGCGCAUGCAGGUGGUUUGUUAAGUCAGAUGUGAAAGCCCGGGGCUCAACCUCGGAAUAGCAUUUGAAACUGGCAGACUAGAGUACUGUAGAGGGGGGUAGAAUUUCAGGUGUAGCGGUGAAAUGCGUAGAGAUCUGAAGGAAUACCGGUGGCGAAGGCGGCCCCCUGGACAGAUACUGACACUCAGAUGCGAAAGCGUGGGGAGCAAACAGGAUUAGAUACCCUGGUAGUCCACGCCGUAAACGAUGUCUACUUGGAGGUUGUGGCCUUGAGCCGUGGCUUUCGGAGCUAACGCGUUAAGUAGACCGCCUGGGGAGUACGGUCGCAAGAUUAAAACUCAAAUGAAUUGACGGGGGCCCGCACAAGCGGUGGAGCAUGUGGUUUAAUUCGAUGCAACGCGAAGAACCUUACCUACUCUUGACAUCCAGAGAACUUUCCAGAGAUGGAUUGGUGCCUUCGGGAACUCUGAGACAGGUGCUGCAUGGCUGUCGUCAGCUCGUGUUGUGAAAUGUUGGGUUAAGUCCCGCAACGAGCGCAACCCUUAUCCUUGUUUGCCAGCGAGUAAUGUCGGGAACUCCAGGGAGACUGCCGGUGAUAAACCGGAGGAAGGUGGGGACGACGUCAAGUCAUCAUGGCCCUUACGAGUAGGGCUACACACGUGCUACAAUGGCGCAUACAGAGGGCAGCAAGCUAGCGAUAGUGAGCGAAUCCCAAAAAGUGCGUCGUAGUCCGGAUUGGAGUCUGCAACUCGACUCCAUGAAGUCGGAAUCGCUAGUAAUCGUGGAUCAGAAUGCCACGGUGAAUACGUUCCCGGGCCUUGUACACACCGCCCGUCACACCAUGGGAGUGGGCUGCAAAAGAAGUAGGUAGUUUAACCUUCGGGAGGACGCUUACCACUUUGUGGUUCAUGACUGGGGUGAAGUCGUAACAAGGUAGCGCUAGGGGAACCUGGCGCUG